CCUACGGGAGGCAGCAGUGAGGAAUAUUGGUCAAUGGGCGAGAGCCUGAACCAGCCAAGUCGCGUGAGGGAGUACUGCCCUAUGGGUUGUAAACCUCUUUUGUCGGGGAGCAAAAGCCGGAAGUGUCCGGCGAUGAGAGUACCCGAAGAGAACGCAUCGGCUCACUCCGUGCCAGCAGCCGCGGUAAUACGGAGGUUGCGAGCGUUAUCCGGAUUUAUUGGGUUUAAGGGGUGCGCAGGCGGAUUGUUAAGUCAGCGUGCAAGGCGUGGGGCUCAACCCCAUCCAGCCGUUGAAACUGGGGAUCUAGAGUGUGCGAGAGGUAUGCGGAAUGCGUGGUGUAGCGGUGAAAUGCAUAGAUAUCACGCAGAACCCCGAUGGCGAAGGCAGCAUACCGGUGCACAACUGACGUUCAGGCACGAAAGCGUGGGUAUCGAACAGGAUUAGAUACCCUUGUAGUC
rnacentral:rRNA from 1 species